rnacentral:rRNA from 1 species
GACAGAGGGUGCAAACGUUGUUCGGAUUCACUGGGCGUAAAGGGUGCGCAGGUGGUCGGGUAAGUCUGAUGUGAAAUCCCGCAGCUUAACUGCGGAAUGGCAUUGGAUACUAUUCGGCUAGAGGGUUGGAGGGGGGACUGGAAUUCUCGGUGUAGCAGUGAAAUGCGUAGAUAUCGAGAGGAACACCAGUGGCGAAGGCGAGUCCCUGGACAACUCCUGACGCUGAGGCACGAAAGCUAGGGGAGCAAACAGG